UCUCUGUCGGGGAGAUCCGACUCGCCUGAUGAGGAGAAAUCCGUGUGCGACCGCCGUCCGUCCGCUUCCCUUCAACUAUCCCAGUGUAGGGAAGUAGACUCAAUCAGCUCCUCAGCAACUGAUUGGGGCGUUAGGAGCUGAGGAGCUGGUCGUCAGGUGUUUCGCAUAUUGUCAUCAACUGAGGACUAUAAGAAGGAGGCGAGCCAGUACUUCGACGCCCGAGUGUUUUGCCUCUUAGUGGUUGACUAAGCCUCGUUCUUGUGAGACAUCAGAAGGAACUUUCAAACUGUUUUAUGGACUCUGGAUCCUUGUUUGUGUUCCGCUGGCAGCCUGAUCAGAUAUUGUCCUCACAGCUUCAUGCGAACGCUGUCCACCCUCCUCCAAACCUCUUUGAACUCACCUGCUACGCCGUGCUGCGUAGCCAUCGCUCACCAGGAUCACAACCUCUCUCCCUGGCGGACUUAACUCUACUUAAUGUAAGCUUUCACCAUAGAACGUAUUUGAGAAUUUCAGUUGUGGUUUCUCACCUGCGUCCGUUUUCCCUUACAGUCUCCCUGCUACUUCAGUUCCCUGCACCUGAGUUCCAAAAUAAAAGUUUUACUAAAC